GAUGAACGCUGGCGGCAUGCCUUACACAUGCAAGUCGAACGGUAACGGGUCUUCGGAUGCUGACGAGUGGCGAACGGGUGAGUAAUACAUCGGAACGUGCCCGAUCGUGGGGGAUAACGAAGCGAAAGCUUUGCUAAUACCGCAUACGAUCUACGGAUGAAAGCAGGGGACCGCAAGGCCUUGCGCGAACGGAGCGGCCGAUGGCAGAUUAGGUAGUUGGUGGGAUAAAAGCUUACCAAGCCGACGAUCUGUAGCUGGUCUGAGAGGACGACCAGCCACACUGGGACUGAGACACGGCCCAGACUCCUACGGGAGGCAGCAGUGGGGAAGUUUGGACAAUGGGCGAAAGCCGGAUCCAGCCAUGCCGCGUGCAGGAUGAAGGCCUUCGGGUUGUAAACUGCUUUUGUACGGAACGAAAAGACUCUGGUUAAUACCUGGGGUCCAUGACGGUACCGUAAGAAUAAGCACCGGCUAACUACGUGCCAGCAGCCGCGGUAA
rnacentral:rRNA from 1 species